CCUGCCUGCCGCGCUGCCGCCGCAAUCGGAGCUGCUGCCCAGAGCCCCGGCCCUGACCCCCACUCAGCCCCGCCGAGGGAUCAGCCUCCCGCCUGCUGCCCCGGUUCCCUGCCGCGCCAACCCCUCUGCCAGGCUCCUUGCUGGAGCCCAGGGAAGAGGCCCUUGCUCCCGCCCCUAGGAGAAGGUUGAAUCUUUCCCUUUUCCCCUCUUCAGGAGCCCCGAAAGCCCCUUGCUCCCUCUGCAGCCGCGGGUGAGCCCCUUGCCUGCAGGGAAAGUGCAAAGUCAAACUCCCUGGUUCAGCCAGGGCCCUCCCCCCGGUGCAGUAACGCCUAAAUCUUCUAAUCUAGCGCUCUUUCUAGCUGGGGCUAUUAAACCCCUUCACAAAGGGGAGUAAACAUCAUUGGCUCCAUUUUACAGCUGAGGAAACUGAGGCACGGGAAAGUGCAAUGACUUUCCUGAACUUGUGUGUCCGGUCAGUGGUGGAGCCAGGAUUAGCACACAAGUCUCCUGGUUCCAGUCCAGUGCUCUUUGAAGUAGGUCACACAGGACAGGCUGAAAUGCCAGUGUGAUAUAUCUACUGUUCAUGCCUAGACUGCUGUGGGGUGGAGGAGGACAGAUUUGUGCUCACUCUUUAGGGAGCCCCUGACAAAUAUGGGUACCUUCUCCUUUACCACAGUCCUAACUGUGGCACCUUUCCCAUUCCCACUCCUCUGGCUCACAGAAAUAGAGCUGGAGGGAAGAACCCACCGAUUUUUGGCUGGGGGGAAGUUUUUUUGUUGUAACUUCAUUUACAUCAAAAUGAUACAUUUGGUCAAAGCAGGAAGCAUUACUUAAUGUCUGGUCCAUAUACACAGACCGUGGCAGGACACCUAACGGGAAUGGCCAUGCAGAUGGUGAUAAGGACAAGGGAUGGAUUCUCGCAACUUACAAGCUCAGACAAGAAGAAGAUGCAAUGCAGGGAGUUCCUGAUUUGUUUAAACCAGCGCUGCUGCUUUAUAAGCUUCAAGUGUUCAUGUUCUGUCAGAGACUUCCCAUAGAAAGCAGCUCUCAGCAGCCAGGAGGGUCCACUGCCAAUCACCAACUGCCUUGGAACCUUCUGGCUGCACUAUUCCAUCCCUUCCUGAUUAAAUAGAUCCCUGAUGCCCAGAGAAAGAGAAGUUACUUACAUUGUAGCAUCUAAAGUUCUCUGAGAUGUGCGGUCGCUGUCUAUAUUCCACUGGUGGAUGUGCAUGUGCUGUAGGAACCUGAGACUGGAAGAUUCUUACGUAGUAGUGUCUAUUAAUCUGCACCUACACCCUUCUCAUGUUGCGAACCAAGAGUAUAAGGGGCAACAUGGACAGACCGCUUCUCCAAUUCCUUCACCACCACGGACCAAGGCAGAUGAGAAGGAAGACAGGUAGCGGAAUACACACCUCAAAUCUCAUAAGGUCCUCAUAAGGACCACACACCUCAAAUUACUUCAGUUACUAUAAGGUUUGAUGUCCAUCCGAAUACCAACUGUGAAAUGGAGAGUGUGGGGGAUGUUGGACCUUGCCAUGUUCUGGGUCAAGGACUCUGGAAAGAACUGGAUGCUGACGGAUGGACAGAUUGACAGAAAAAGCAAUGAUGCAGAAAUGAAACCAGAGUAAUCAGCUCUGACAGGAAAAAGACAUUAAUAGGAGCAAGCAAUGAAAAAAUAAACUGGAGAUCUAAGUAAUGGCUAAUCAACCUAAGAGGAUUUACCUAAUUAAUCCUGUGUUGCAGAGCUAUCCAGAUUGCUUCUCAGUCUACUCCAUAUGUAACUAUUUGUUACUUACUGUUAGCUUUCUAGAAAGAAGUAAAACAUCUUGUAACCAGGAAGACUACAUUACGUAUUUUUGAACUGCUUUAUUAUUCUACCGCACAGGUAGUCCCCAAUACGGCUACUGUACAGUCAAAAUAUUUCCAGAAUUUCAAUAAUUUUGCAAUCAUUCUUAAUCAU